CCCAGUGUCCUGUGUUCUGAGUUGUCAUUUCCUGGCCUUGCCCACUGCAUAGGGAUGCAGGAGGGAAACGUGGCUUGUCAGAAGAGGUUACUGGUGAGCCUCUCUUUACGAAAGGCCUCCGCAGAGAAGUACAAACCUGUGAGCAGCCGUAGCGGGCUCAGGACAGCACAGGGACCAAGUUCCUGGCAGUAUCCUGAUCGGUGCGUCCCCACAGGGCAUGACACAGAGAAGGCCCCCUGCACCAGGACUCGAUUGCUUUGUCGGCUCGAGGGAAGUUUCCAUCAUUCACAGUGCGGUGGACCCCACCUGCUGUUACCCCGAAGUUCAUUUACCACUACUUACCGGGUCAGAAUCAAGGAGAGUAGCCUGUAAGGAAUGUAAGAAGCAUCAUGACCAGUAGGGAGCUGAAUCCCUUGACAACCCAAGGCGACUGGGGAUGGAGAAUGAGACAGGAUGGCAUGGAGAAGAAAUCUGGAGUCAGACAAGGCAUCUGGUCUACUCAAUGUCGUGCGGUCUCCACGCCAUUCUGAUGGAACUGUGCGAGCGUGCAUCUUCCCGCUGCACCCUGCCAAGACCUGCGUGUCCCCAUGACCAGUUCCAGGAGUGCAGAACCCCUUUCCAAGACCAGACGUGAACGUGUCACCUUUUACAGAUACAGAGAGUGUGGAAUUUUUUUUUUCCCAAAGGAGAAAAUUCUGUUUUGUAAAAUGAGGGGAGAAUCUGUGCUUGCUGAGCCCUCGCGCUUCCACAGUCUCAUUCAUUCUC